GAUGAACGCUGGCGGCGUGCCUAAUACAUGCAAGUCGAGCGAACGGACGAGAAGCUUGCUUCUCUGAUGUUAGCGGCGGACGGGUGAGUAACACGUGGAUAACCUACCUAUAAGACUGGGAUAACUUCGGGAAACCGGAGCUAAUACCGGAUAAUAUUUUGAACCGCAUGGUUCAAAAGUGAAAGACGGUCUUGCUGUCACUUAUAGAUGGAUCCGCGCUGCAUUAGCUAGUUGGUAAGGUAACGGCUUACCAAGGCAACGAUGCAUAGCCGACCUGAUAGGGUGAUCGGCCACACUGGAACUGAGACACGGUCCAGACUCCUACGGGAGGAAGCAGUAGGGAAUCUUCCGCAAUGGGCGAAAGGCUGACGGAGCAACGCCGCGUGAGUGAUGAAGGUCUUCGGAUCGUAAAACUCUGUUAUUAGGGAAGAACAUAUGUGUAAGUAACUGUGCACAUCUUGAAGGUACCUAAUCAGAAAGCCAAGGCUAACUACGUG
rnacentral:rRNA from 1 species